GCCUCCUCACUUUUGCCCCAGGCGAUAGGCUCCAAUCGCUGCACGCAUGCGUAUGGCUCGGCUGUUUUUCACGCGCUAUCGGACUCAUAGGCUAAGCGCGGCUCGGCUCCUUGCCUCUACAUCGGCUCAGUUCGCACAGAGAACAGAGCAUCUAUCCUGGCUCCCAGACCCUUUGCACAAUGUCGUGCCGCCGCCGCCGCCGCCGCCGGGAAUCGCCUCGCAGCCGCCGGGAUUCGCUUCCGCGCCGCCACCGACCGCAUCGCCGCCGCCGGAGUUGCCUCCGCGCCGCCGCCGGGAGUCGCCCCCGCCGGUCCCUGGAGUCGCAUCCGCAAGGCCGGCCAUGGCACAAACUCGCGUCGGCAAGAGUAAUUAGGCGAGAUGGUCGAAGGAAUAUAACUAUCACACAUCAUCAGCGAUGGCUGUAUGCAGAGAGGUAAAAGAGAUAAGUGCUUCUACACUGGGAGAGAAGCAAAUGGAGUGGUUCAUCUUUGUGCCAAGCAACCUAGUAGUACUAGACGUAGAUGCCCUUGGAUGAACUUUGUUCCAAAAAAAUUAGCUGAUGCUUUGUGGUUUGAUUCUAAUCCUGAUUAAUGAUCAAUAAAUCUCUUCAAGUCUCCUUUGUGACAUGAUGAUUUACAUGUACUGACUUGUUUUUUCAACCUUGUAUGGAUAAUUGCUAAUGCAGGGUCUUGGACUUGUGGUUAAUCCAGGUAGAUGUAUCUCUUUGCUACAAUCUGAAGAAAUGGAGGACUAGGAAAUCAAAGCUUAUUUACUGUCUGUACAAGACUAGAGUCAAUUGGAUUGCUGAUGGGAGAGUGUUAUAGUAGAACAUUAAAAAAGCAUAAGCUUCUCUGCCCCUGCAUGCUUGAAGAGCUUCAGUCAAGAUGGCGCUGCACAAAAUUGAUGCUUCAAACAAGGAUGAUGCCUUGUACAGGUGCAAGAUGCCUAGAAUCUUAACCAAAAUAGAAAGUUGUGGUAGGCAUCAACAUGAGGGAACAUAGAGCGAACUGGAGGCCACGUACUCACGCAACAGCUACACUCCGCCGUCGUUCUUCUAUCCGAAGACCCUCAAGUAUACUGCUGGAACAAUACAGUUGCUGAGAAAACCGCUGAAGAAGACGCAAUGGUUGCUGAUGGAGUAGACUUUGACUAGGAAUGUCAAAUCUUGCAAAUUUGAUGUUGAAUUCAUGACAACUAUAGUACAAACCUAUAGCUGAUUGCUCUCCUUGAAAAUGUACUAAUUAGUAUACAAUGUAUCUUUUCAUAUCAAAUACAUAUGGAUAGUAUAAAAUCUUCA